ensembl:lncRNA
CUCGGGCCCCAAGCAGCCCCAACUGUGCCUGGUCCUCCUCCAUCCUGGGCCCCAAGGCCCAGGCUGUGCCGGGGCUCCCUUUGGUCUGGGAAAAGAGCAGGCCUCAACUGUGCCAGGCCCCCCUCCAGCCCAGGCCCCAAAGCAGCCCCAACUGUGCCUGCUCCUCCUCCAUCCUAGGCCCCAAAGCCUGGGCAGUGCCGGGGCUCCCUCUGGUCUGGGCCAAGAGGAGGCCUCAACUCUGCUAGGCCCCCCUCCAGCUCGGGCCCCCCCAGUGCAGCCCCAACUGCACCUGGUCCUCCUCCAGCCUGGGCCCCGAGGCUCUACCUGUGCCUGGGCCCCCUUCCUUCUGGGCCCACACCAGGCCUCAACUGUGCCAGGCCCCCUCCAGCCUGGGCCCCGAGGCCACCACUCUGCUGGACCACCCUCCGGCACAGGCCCUGCCCCAAGCCCUGCCCCCUCUGGACAGCUCUGCUCUUUGCCUGCUUGGUUUUUGUUCUCUCUUCACUCUGCCAGCUUAACUGGAUGAGUUUCAAUGGGGCCGAGUGUCGGGUCCUGCAUUUUGGUCACAACAAGCCCAGGCGUCCCCCCAGUCCUCCUUGGGGAGGAGUGGCUGGAAAGCUGCCUGAGCCCUGAAAGGGACCUUGGUGUGCUGACGGACAGGUGGCUGAAGAUGAGCCAGCAGUGUGCCCAGGUGGCCAAGAAGGCCAAUGGCAUAAGGACAAUUCCUGGCUCAGGAACGGUGUGGUGAGCAGGACUAGGGAAGUCAUCCUGCCCCUGGACUCGGCACUGGCGAGGCCUCACCUCGAGUGCAGUGUUCAGUUUUGGG